GUGUAGGCGUAGAUGUAGUUGUAGGUGUAGGCGUAGUGUAGGAUUAGGUGUAGUUGUAGGUUUAGGCAUAGAUGUAGUUGUAAGUGUUGAUGAAGUUGUAGGUUUAGUUAUAGGAAUAGGUGUAGUUGUAGGUGUAGUUGUAGUUGUAGUUGUAGGUGUAGUUGUAAGUGUAGUUGUAGGAGUAGGUGUAGCUGUAGAUGUCGUUGUAGGAGUAGGUGUAGUUGUAGGUGUAGUUGCAGAUGUAGUUGUAGGUGUAGUUGCAGUUGUUGGUGUAGUUGUAGGAGUAGGUGUAGUUGUAG
rnacentral:lncRNA from 1 species